GAUGAACGCUGGCGGCGUGCCUAAUACAUGCAAGUCGAGCGAAUGGAUUAAGAGCUUGCUCUUAUGAAGUUAGCGGCGGACGGGUGAGUAACACGUGGGUAACCUGCCCAUAAGACUGGGAUAACUCCGGGAAACCGGGGCUAAUACCGGAUAACAUUUUGAACCGCAUGGUUCGAAGUUGAAAGGCGGCUUCGGCUGUCACUUAUGGAUGGACCCGCGUCGCAUUAGCUAGUUGGUGAGGUAACGGCCCACCAAGGCAACGAUGCGUAGCCGACCUGAGAGGGUGAUCGGCCACACUGGGACUGAGACACGGCCCAGACUCCUACGGGAGGCAGCAGUAGGGAAUCUUCCGCAACGGACGAAAGUCUGACGGAGCAACGCCGCGUGAGUGAUGAAGGCUUUCGGGUCGUAAAACUCUGUUGUUAGGGAAGAACAAGUGCUAGUUGAAUAAGCUGGCACCUUGACGGUACCUAACCAGAAAGCCACGGCUAACUACGUGCCAGCCGCCGCAGUAA
rnacentral:rRNA from 1 species